rnacentral:rRNA from 1 species
GACGAACGCUGGCGGCGUGCUUAACACAUGCAAGUCGAACGCAAAGGCCCUGCUUUUGUGGGGUGCUCGAGUGGCGAACGGGUGAGUAACACGGGAGUAACCUGCCCUUGACUUUGGGAUAACUUCAGGAAACUGGGGCUAAUACCGGAUAGGAGCUCCUGCUGCAUGGUGGGGGUUGGAAAGUUUCGGCGGUUGGGGAUGGACUCGCGGCUUAUCAGCUUGUUGGUGGGGUAGUGGCUUACCAAGGCUUUGACGGGUAGCCGGCCUGAGAGGGUGACCGGCCACAUUGGGACUGAGAUACGGCCCAGACUCCUACGGGAGGCAGCAGUGGGGAAUAUUGCACAAUGGGCGGAAGCCUGAUGCAGCAACGCCGCGUGCGGGAUGACGGCCUUCGGGUUGUAAACCGCUUUCGCCUGUGACGAAGCGUGAGUGACGGUAAUGGGUAAAGAAGCACCGGCUAACUACGUG